CUAGAUGUAGUUUAAAAAAAGAACCUUAGCUUUGGGGGCUAAAAGAGCCUUUAAGGUUAUCUAGA
rnacentral:tRNA from 1 species